rnacentral:lncRNA from 1 species
CCAAAAUUGUCCAUUCUCGAGAAAAUUAAUUUAUUCCAACCUUUACGUGCUCUCUGUAUAAGUAUUAUGGGUUAUAAAUGAAUCUUUCUGAAAGGCAAAACAAGUUUAAAUGUUUAUGUAUAAUGUAAUUGUAAAUUUAAUGGCGUUGAAAAGCGUCGUCAUUUUACCCAAAAUAUGGUCUUAGAUUGUUUUCGCAAUGACCGAUUCAAUUGUGAUUUAACAGAGCAACGAAAUAUUCGUAUGUUACACUCCUAAAAAAAAGUGUUACCACUAUGGACCAUCGUAAAAUUCUACACGUGUUAUUAUUUUGUUUAGGUCACUAUUACAAAAUUGGGUUUUCUAUUAGAACGCAUACCAUGCCAUUAGUGCCAAACAAAAAUAGAAAAACUUAGUAGUUUAUGGAACGUUUUUAUAUAAGUGGAUGAUAAUUAUGAAUCAUGCAAUAUUUGUAAGAUAAAGCUGUCUUAUAAAACUUAGAGAACUUAGAAAACAAAAUUUUAAUACAUUAUUGUUUCCUAUAAUGCACAAAAUGUUAAAGGUGGUACAAAAUGAUGUGAAAAUGAAACAUUUUGGAUGCUUUGCACACACAAUAAAUAAACUUUAUUGUGAACGAUGGCUUAAAGGAUGAGGAAAUCAGCCACAAUUUAACUUAAAAAAA